UGCCUUAAGGGUGAUGGAAUCAAAAAGA
rnacentral:piRNA from 1 species